GUCCACGCCCUAAACGAUGAUCACUCGAUGUGUGCGAUAUACAGUACGCGUCUGAGCGAAAGCAUUAAGUGAUCCACCUGGGGAGUACGACCGCAAGGUUGAAACUCAAAGGAAUUGACGGGGGCCCGCACAAGCGGAGGAGCAUGUGGUUUAAUUCGAUGAUACGCGAGGAACCUUACCAGGGCUUGAAAGUUAGUGAAGGAUGUGGAAACAUGUCCGUCAGCAAUGACACGAAACUAGGUGCUGCAUGGCUGUCGU
rnacentral:rRNA from 1 species